GGCCUGAUGGUCUAGUAGUAUGAUUCGCCCUUAGGGAGGUAUUGAACCUGUGAUCUAAAUGGGCGAGGUCCCGGGUUCAAUUCCCGGUUAGGCCC